UCCUACGGGAGGCAGCAGUAAGGAAUAUUGGGCAAUGGACGAAAGUCUGACCCAGCCAUGCCGCGUGCAGGAUGACGGCCCUACGGGUUGUAAACUGCUUUUGUAUAGGAAGAAACCUCACUACGUGUAGKGAGUUGACGGUACUAUACGAAUAAGCACCGGCUAACUCCGUGCCAGCAGCCGCGGUAAUACGGAGGGUGCAAGCGUUAUCCGGAUUUAUUGGGUUUAAAGGGUGCGCAGGCGGAAUGAUUAGUCAGUGGUGAAAUCCUACAGCUCAACUGUAGAACUGCCAUUGAUACUGUCAUUCUUGAGUACAGUUGAAGUGGGCGGAAUGUAUCAUGUAGCGGUGAAAUGCAUAGAUAUGAUACAGAACUCCGAUAGCGAAGGCAGCUCACUAAACUGAAACUGACGCUCAGGCACGAAAGCGUGGGGAGCAAACAGGAUUAGAUACCCUGGUAGUCCACGCCGUAAACGAUGAUCACUCGUUGUUGGCAACACAUCGUCAGCGACUGAACGAAAGUAUUAAGUGAUCCACCUGGGGAGUACGAUCGCAAGGUUGAAACUCAAAUGAAUUGACGGA
rnacentral:rRNA from 1 species